rnacentral:RNase_P_RNA from 1 species
CGAGGCGGACGGGUGACCGCCGACCUAAUACGCGGUUUGGAGGAAAGUCCGGGCUCCACAGAGCAGGGCGCUGGGUAAUACCCAGUCGGGGCGACCCGAAGGAAAGUGCCACAGAAAAUUACCGCCCGGCAGCGUGAAUCUCCGGAGACACGACGUCAGGUAAGGGUGAAAAGGUGGGGUAAGAGCCCACCGGCGGCCGGGUGACCGGCCGGCCGGAUUAGCUCGCUGCGGCUUCUCGAUGAAUCUCCUGGUCCGCACGAUCUAAGUGGGCAGUAAGCGCGCGUUCCCCAGGGAACAAUUAGGGAACAGUCGCGGUCGAUCAGGCCGUGUCGUUGGAUGUCGUUUCGUAUUCGCAGGCGAGAAGUGAACUCGCUCCGACAGAACCCGGCUUACGCGCCGCUCUCGGCCC